CUUGCGGUUAGGCAUUUAAUCUCAAGGCAAGUUUUAUCGACAAGCCAUUACUCACCAAUAUGGCCUUUGGUAACAUUGGAGCACAGCGACUGUUUCCAAACUGCAGAAUCCCACCAAAAUUCACUGAUAAUUCCACCAGACAAUACAUUAGAGAUGUAUGUGAGGACAAAAUUAUUUUCCUCUUAUUCUUGUUUUGUCCAAAAUACUGAAAAUUUAAAAUUUGAUGGUCAUAUCAUGACAGGUACUUACUUAGGAAUUGAGAACAAAGAUUAAGUUUGAAUUAAAUAAUAUGCCAAACUUAUAUCUCCA